UGAAACGCGUAAAAUAAAAUGAUAAAAUAGGUUAAGUUCGCCAAAAGGCCAAAAAGAACUAAGUUUAGACCAGUUUCAGAGGUAGCUGUUAAAUACUUCGUGACAAAUUAGCGCGCAAAUGUCUAUCUGUGUGUAUGUGUGUAUGUGUCUAGAAGUAAGUUGAUUUUACAGCACAAUACGCUGCUGAACUACUUCUAUUUUAUUUGUUUUCUUUGCUUGAGGCUCACGUACUGGUGACAAAUGAGAACGGUUGAGUUUUAUCUCGUAAAACUGAUACCGCUUCAUUUUUUAGAAGUGAAGUAGAAGGGCGUAUCAGCAACCACUCUGAAGUCAAGCGUGCCAGUGACAGCCCAGCAAAAUCUUUGACAAUGGGGAAUAAACAAGCAAAAUUAACACCUGAUGAGGAAUAUUUAGAAAAACAACAAACCGGAGCAGGUAGAAUAAGUGCAAAUAGGUGGAGAAAUCCACAAAAAGCUAAAAACCACAGCUGGGAAGGGAAAUGCAAUCCCUCAGCUGUUACCCAGCUGAGAGCUGCCCUGAAACAAGAAAUUACAUUAACAAAAGACCCAAAG